GAGAUUGUAUUAUAAAUUAGUAUUUUUCUUUUUCGAGGAAGAGGUCGGGAUCUUG
rnacentral:tRNA from 1 species